rfam:Aedes aegypti strain Liverpool supercont1.574 genomic scaffold, whole genome shotgun sequence.
CAAUCGGCCCUUUUCAGGGCCAACAAAUGUGUACUAGAGAGUUAUUU